rnacentral:rRNA from 1 species
AAAAUUUAAAAUUAAAAUACUAAAAUAGUAAAUAAAUUUUAUUGAAACUUAAAUAAUUUGGCGGUAUUUUAGUACAUUUAGAGGAAUCUGUUUAAUAAUUGAUAUUCCACGAAUAAACUUACUUAAUUUAUAAUUUUGUAUAUCGUUGUUAAAAAAAUAUUUUUUAAUAAAAUUAAUAUUUAAAAAUUAUUAUGAAAAUUUAAAUCAGAUCAAGAUGCAGAUUAUAAUUAAGAAUAUAAUGGAUUACAAUAAAUUUAUUUAAAUGAAUAUUAAUUUGUAAGAAUUAAUUGAAAGUGGAUUUAAAUGUAAUUUUAUUUAAUUUAAUAAAAUGAUUAAAAAUUAAAAUAUGU